rnacentral:rRNA from 1 species
AGAACGAACGCUGGCGGCAGGCUUAACACAUGCAAGUCGAGCGCCCCGCAAGGGGAGCGGCAGACGGGUGAGUAACGCGUGGGAACGUGCCUUUUGGUUCGGAAUAACUCAGGGAAACUUGAGCUAAUACCGGGUAAGCCCUUCGGGGGAAAGAUUUAUCGCCAAAAGAUCGGCCCGCGUCAGAUUAGCUAGUUGGUGAGGUAAAAGCUCACCAAGGCGAUGAUCUGUAGCUGUUCUGAGAGGAAGAUCAGCCACACUGGGACUGAGACACGGCCCAGACUCCUACGGGAGGCAGCAGUGGGGAAUAUUGGACAAUGGGCGCAAGCCUGAUGCAGCGACGCCGCGUGAGGGAUGACGGCCUUCGGGUUGUAAACCUCUUUCAGUAGGGAGAAGCGAAAGUGACGGUACCUGCAGAAGAAGCGCCGGCUAACUACGUGCCAGCAGCCGC